rnacentral:rRNA from 1 species
AACGAACGUUAGCGGCGCGCCUAACACAUGCAAGUCGAGCGAGAAGGAAGCAAUUCCUGUAAAGCGGCGCACGGGUGAGUAACACGUAGGUAAUCUACCUCGAAGUGGUGGAUAACCUUCCGAAAGGAGGGCUAAUACAGCAUGAGACCACGGUUUCGAAAGAGAUUGAGGUCAAAGCGGGCCACUAUACAUAAGCUCGCGCUUCGAGAUGAGCCUGCGGCCCAUCAUGGUAGUUGGUAGGGUAAUGGCCUACCAAGCCGAAGACGGGUAGCUGGUCUGAGAGGAUGAUCAGCCACACUGGAACUGAGACACGGUCCAGACUCCUACGGGAGGCAGCAGUGGGGAAUCUUGCGCAAUGGGCGAAAGCCUGACGCAGCGACGCCGCGUGAGUGAUGAAGGCCUUC